GCCCCCUUAGCUCAACCGGAUAGAGCAUCUGCCUUCGGAGCAGAGGGUUGGAGGUUCAAAUCCUCCAGGGGGCA
rnacentral:tRNA from 1 species